GACGAACGCUGGCGGCGUGCCUAACACAUGCAAGUCGAACGGGGAUAUGAUUUCGGUUGUAUCCUAGUGGCGAACGGGUGAGUAACGCGUGAGCAACCUGUCCUUUUGAGGGGGAUAACAUUUGGAAACAGAUGCUAAUACCGCAUAAGACCACGGGUCCGCAUGGACCAGAGGUCAAAGGAGCAAUCCGCAGAAGGAGGGGCUCGCGUCCCAUUAGGUAGAUGGCGGGGUAACGGCCCACCAUGCCAUCGAUGGGUAGCCGAGCUGAGAGGCUGAUCGGCCACACUGGAACUGAGACACGGUCCAGACUCCUACGGGAGGCAGCAGUGGGGAAUAUUGGGCAAUGGGCGAAAGCCUGACCCAGCAACGCCGCGUGAGGGAAGAAGGCCUUCGGGUUGUAAACCUCUGUCCUUGGUGACGAAAAAAAUGACGGUAGCCAAGGAGGAAGCCCCGGCUAACUACGUG
rnacentral:rRNA from 1 species